rnacentral:lncRNA from 1 species
GUGGAGCAUUACGAUGAAUUGACCAAUUCAGACAAACGACAAGGUGAUUUAGACUUGCUCGAUAAAUCUCGAAGACAAGCUCAACUAACAAUGGCUUCUUAUCAACAAAGAAUAACUCGGUAUUACAAUUUCUAGGUUAACCUUAAGAUCUUCCAAAUAGGAGAUUUUGUCCUUAGAAGAGCUGAAGUUUUCAAACCGAUCGAGCAAGAAAAAUUAUCUCUGA